CCAAGUCGACGAUCUAUAGCUUGUCUGAGAGGAUGAUCAGCCACACUGGGACUGAGACCCGGCCCCAGACUUCUACGGGAGGCAGCAGUGGGAAUCUUGGACAAUGGGGGCAACCCUGAUCCCAGCCAUGCCGCGUGAGUGAUGAAGGCCCUAGGGUCGUAAAGCUCUUUCGCCAGAGAUGAUAAUGACAGUAUCUGGUAAAGAAACCCCGGCUAACUCCGUGCCAGCAGCCGCGGUAAUACGGAGGGGGUUAGCGUUGUUCGGAAUUACUGGGCGUAAAGCGCGCGUAGGCGGAUCGGAAAGUUGGGGGUGAAAUCCCGGGGCUCAACCCCGGAACUGCCUCCAAAACUAUCGGUCUAGAGUUCGAGAGAGGUGAGUGGAAUUCCGAGUGUAGAGGUGAAAUUCGUAGAUAUUCGGAGGAACACCAGUGGCGAAGGCGGCUCACUGGCUCGAUACUGACGCUGAGGUGCGAAAGUGUGGGGAGCAAACAGGAUUAGAUACCCUGGUAGUCCACACCGUAAACGAUGAAUGCCAGUCGUCGGGUAGCAUGCUGCUCGGUGACACACCUAACGGAUUAAGCAUUCCGCCUGGGGAGUACGGUCGCAAGAUUAAAACUCAAAUGAAUUGACGG
rnacentral:rRNA from 1 species